GAUAGGAGAAUGACAAAUCAGAUUUUUCCUCCUAAUUUUCAGUUUUUUCCCCUUACCAAAUUCAAAUCCAACAAAAAUGCUAAAAAUCAGAAGGAAAAAUUUUAUUUAUCAUUUUCCUAUC
rfam:Gossypium raimondii Chr12_contig_748, whole genome shotgun sequence.